CGCCCUUAGGAUGGGCAGGUCGAAAAGGGUGGAAGGGCGGGGAUAUGAAAUCUGUGCGAGUGACUAAGGCGCUAGAGCCCGUGCUCUGACAAGCUGUGCGCUUUGCUAUUGGCUCUAACGUGAGGCGCGCGGAGAUGACGUAAGGAAGUUAUUUGAUUGGUUCUGUAAUUUCGGUGAUUGUAAAGACUGCUUGGAUACCAUUGCGAAGAGUCGUUGAAAAGGUCAAAACACCGCACUUCGGAAGAAAAGAACAGAGCUAAUUAAUCGAGAAAAUGCCUCCUCUUGAUACUGAUGUACUGCACUAUUGCAAUCUACCGAUCUACGGUAGUCUUGCAGAAAUUACUGACGUAUUAAUAGAGUUCCUUACCCAUCUGGCCUUUGUCGUAAAGUAGGUGUCUUGUGACUACAUGGAAGAGAAUGAGGCCUGUUUAACAGAAGAAGAGUCGGUUACAAAGUAAAUCCCGCAGGAAAAUAGGAGAAAUUCUCAUAGAAUGCAGAGGAAAAAGGCACAGGAAUUAAGAGGAGGAAAGAGAGAUCUAGAGUGCCUGACCUCGGAAUGCAGUCUACGUGUAAUAGGAAACAAGAGGCCAAAGCAAAUAAAACUGAAACAAUAAUUGCGGAACUAAUCGAAGAAAAUUUUCCAGAGUUGAAGAAGAAGUAGACCUGCAAAUAAAAAAUGCUCACAAGGUAUCUCAAUUUAAUUUAAUGAGAAGAAAGCGACACCUGAGUAUAUCCUUUUGACUUUUAAAUUUUAAGCAUAAGGACAAAGCUUUGCAAGUAUCUAGAGAAAACAGGUUACCUGUAAGGGAGCGAAAGUCAGACUAACCUCAGAUUGUUGUCUUACAAUUUUAAAUACCUGAAGACAACAGGACAAUAUUUGUAGAGUUUUAAGGAAAAUUAAUUUUGAACCAAGAAUUAUAAUCCCUGCCUAGUUAGUAUUUGUGUAUGAAGCAACUGGAAGACAUUCUCAGAUACCGAGCGGUUAAGAAAGUAUAUUGACCAAGAACCUUCUCUUAAAGUUUUGCUGAAUGAUUUACUGCAGCCAACAGAAAAAUUAAAUAGAACAAGGAGAUAGUUGUAUGGGAGAUUUGUUGGCUAAAACUAGUUAAGAAUAUGAAGUCUAAAAUUGUUUUACUUAGGAGAGUAAACCUAAACACGAAAUAGAUUUGUAAGCUGAACCUUAGAUUUUCAGGUUAUGUCAAAAUGCUUGCCAGAUACACAAUGUAAAUAUGGUUUUAUUUUUCCCAUGUAAUAUAAAGAUGGAUGUUGUUAAGCCAAACAUGUUAAAUAGAAGUAAUUGCUUGUAAUCCCAACGCUUGGGAAACUGAGGCAGAAGAACUGCUGCAAGUUCGCGACCAGCCUGACCUGUAUAGUGAAGACAAAGUCUACAGUGUCUCAAAAAGACAAAAAAAGAAUAAGAAGUGCGUUGUCACUGUGGGCAGUACAAGUACAGAAAAGACAUUCUAAAUGUUUAUGUGCCAAAAUUGGAAAAUGGUAUAGUUUUAAUUCCUUUAGAAAAAUAGCAAGCUCAUAAUGUUAAUACUAAAAGGGUAAGGAGAAAAUUUUCAAAGCACUGGUUAGAGAAGGAUGGAUAUGUUUCAAAUACUGAUUGGGAAAACCAGUAAUUACUACAUUAGGUGGUAGUUCAUAGAAGUUUUAUCAUUAAAUAGUUUAUAUGCAUUGCAGGUUUUGGGGAUAGAAAACAAAUGAAAACCCAAAAAAGAGUAGCACAAAAAAAAAAUACCAAGGAAACAUUAAACUUUACAUUAAAGGUAUUGACAGAAAAAGAGGUAAAUUAUACUCACAAACUGAUUAAAUUCCCAAUUAAUAAGAUCCAAAUUGAGUACAAAAAGUCAAUCUCUGAUUUGGAUACAUUUGUAUAAAACAGGUCAAAGGAGAUUAAAGGUAAUGGAAACUUUGUAGGUUUCCAUGUCACCAAGAAAUUCAAUGCAAUACAUAAUUCGAACCAGAUUAUAGUACCUGAUCCCAACAUCUUGUGAAAAGAAAAAUCAUUCUGCAUAAUUGUUACUGCCUAUAUCUAAAAUUUGAGGAAUUUAAGUGAAAAUUUUUACAAAAGGGUAAGAAAUACUACAAAUUUGGAUGUUAUGCCUCUGAUACCCCUUCUCACACAUGCCAUUCUUUACUUGCUAACGUAGAAGCAAGAAUUUUGCCAUUGAUCACUUGAAAGUUUGACAGCUUGUGUACAAUAAAUCUUAAUUACAUAUUCUGUGUACACUCCGGGCCAGAUGAAAAUUGUAUUAAUUGGAUCUUGUGAUUUGCUUGUUCUCUUACCUCUUUUACAAAAAUAGAUUUGCCUUCACUUUUCCAGUUAUAAGGCUUUCUCUGUUUCUCUUCCAUCUUUGAAACAUUUCCUGCUAGUGCAGUGGGGAUUGUGAUCAGAGAUUCUUCAUUGUGUUGCUACUAGUAAACUGUUUGACCUGAGCACUUGGAAAUCUGUGGGUGAUUAAACAUAAUGAUUAGAAGAUAACAAUAUAUAACAUGUAAGUUAUAGCAAAAGUUCAAAUAAGAAAUAGGGAAAUGCUAUUAAAAAUCAACUCUAUUGUUUCUUGUAAUUAUUUCUUGCCCCAACAAAUUACAAUGGUAUGGGGUAAUGUACUAGCUAAUAAAAUUUUCAUAAUACAACUGUUAUUUAUGGAGGCAGUCCUGUAACACUAUAAUUCCACUUAGUUAAAAAAAUCAAAUUUCACUUUAAUCAGUAGGAAAAAGAAAAUUCUAACUGUGAUGUUUUGUCAGGGCUUGAAAGCUGUAAGACAUGUAAUUAAUGGUACUGCAUUUUUUCUAGCAUUUUGAUUAAACUGAAAUUAGGUAAUUAGCUGGUGCCUGUGUUAAGUAACAAGGUGAAUAAAAGUAAGACUAAAAAGCCUUAGGAAAGGAUAAAAAGCAUCAGAGUUCAAUGUUUUAUUAGUUUUUUAAAAGAAAACUUUAUAAAUGUAAGCUACACAUUAUAAUUAAAUUUCUUUUUAAACCUAAGCUAUAAGUUAUCAAAUAGAAAAAGUGAAAGUUAUUUUAACAGUAUUGAAGUUUCUAUUGUAAUCAUUUCGCCACUUAAUAUUGUUCUUACAUGUUUCUUCAGGUAAUUCCAGUCUUUUUAUCCAUGUAUAGUACUUUUUCCUGUACUAAUUAAGUUAUCCUUAAAGUGGCAUAUGAAAAUAUUUUCUUAUAUAGUAUUUAUUUAUUUUUAAUACUAGUAAUUAUUUUAAAAUAAGUUUUUUUCUGAGGGUUACAUUUGUUUCCCAAUCCAAGCCCCAGAUAUGACUAGUUUUUUGUUUGUUUGUUUGUUUGUUUUGUCUUUUUCAUUUUUAUUGGUACCGGGGAUCGAACUCACGACUGCCUGCUUGCAAGGCAGGUACUUAUGCCGCUGAGCUAAAUCCCCAGCCCCUAGAUAUGACUAGUUUUAAGAAAUACACUUAUUAAUACAUAAUAGAAAUCACAAAAGCUUGAUCUUUAAAAGCUGUAUUAGUUUGCUUGGCCUGCAGAGACAAAAUACCAAAACCUGAGUGAUUUAAAAUAAAGUAAAUUACUCCAAAAUCAAGCUGUUGACAAGGUCAUGCUCCCUCUGACAGCUCUAGGGCUCUAAGACCACCAUUUCUUGUUCUUCAGAUUUUAUUGGCUCUUUUGUUUCUAGGUGGAGAUUAUGGCUAUUGAUUUAAGACCUGAUUUCUUUCUAAUAUAAGGUGUUUCAGAGGCUACUUUUUUUUGAUCAAGAUUGCUUUCGAGUAUCCCACAAAUGUUGUACUAUGUAUGCAUAUGUACUAUGCUUACAUUUUUUUAAAAAUUCAAACAACUUUGUAGUUUUGCUUGAUUUCUUCUUUGAUACAUGAGCCUUUUAGAGUGUGGCAUUGUUUAAAUAUUUUGAUCUAUUUUUAGAUUUGCAGUUCAAAAACUAAAGAGUAUCUGUAUAUAAUUUCAACCAUCCUGAUGGUAUAUGAUCAAAACCAGAGAAUUGUCAAAUACAAUACCACUAACCAUAAAGCUUAUUUAGAUAUCACAGUGUUUGUCAGCAUUCAUCCUAUAUGUUUGUGCAACAGUUAUAUGAGAUUUUACCUGUGAAAAAUUGUGUAAGCAUCACCAAAAUCUGGGCACAGAGCCAUUCAUCACCUGAAAGAACACAUGCUGAGAGGGUUGCUUAACCCCAAAUUUAUAUGAUCUUGUCUACCUUCAACAGGGCACCAAGGUGAGAGGUUUACAGGGACAAUGUUACACUAGCUACCUGGAGCUAUUUUCCUAAACCUUUGAUCACCUGGAUUUCCAGGAUUUCCACAUGACAGAGACUGCAGAGAGACAGUCCUUUCCUGAAAAUCCGACCAUCCCUCAACCAUAAAGAUUCCAGAACUAUAGGACUAAAAUAAUGAUCAAUCAGACCCCAGCCAUCUACUAAGUCUUUAAAACUGUCCGCUCAGCUGUAUCACAGUGUGAACCCCGUAUCACAGUGUGCCCUUUCCAGCUAUCUAAGCUGGAGUCCUUUCUUAUCUUCUAACUUAUUAAAUCUUUGUUCCCCUGUAAUUUGUGUUAUGUUUUCAAUUUCUGCUUCUACUAUAGCAAGGACCAAAACUAGCCAGCUGAAACAAUUUUAGUAAUUACAGAAAAAUAUGAGUAUUACCAGAUUUAAAAACUGUUUUGUGCUGGGGAUGUAGCUCAGUGGCACAGCGCUUGCCUGGCAAGUGCCAAGUCCUGAGUUUGAUUCUCAGUACCAAAAAUAAAAGCUAUUUAUUGUAAGGCAGUAGUAACUAAAAUGUUGGUUUACUGUAAAAAAUAUUAAAAGUAGUGCAUGAAAUUCUUAGGAUGUCUUUAAAUUUUAAAUUCAGAAAUGAAAUACUGUUAAAAAUAAUAAAAGACAAGGCAGAUUUCUAAAAUAUAAAAAUCUGUAAUUUUAAAAGAGAAAAUAGAUAUAAGCCAAUAGAAUUAUAAAGACUACUUUUCAGAGGUUGUGUUUUUAGCUAAGCAUGAUAGUACACACCUGCAAUCCCUGGUGUGGCAUUAAGUCCCUGGACCUGAGACAGGAACAACUCUGUGAGCUCAAGGCCAGCGUGGACUACACAGUAAGUUCAAAAACAGACGAAUAUAUAGCAAGAUCCUGCCUAAAAGAAAAGACUGUAUUUUUCAUAGAAGAAUCUUGCCAAUACUCCACGGAACAGCUUGGAAUAAAUGAUUAAGAUAAUAAGUAAAAGUCUGUGCAUAAGGAUAUGGCUCAGUAGUACAGCACCUGCCUGGCAAGCACAAGGUCCUGAGUUCUAGUUCCAGUAAACUCCCACCCCAAAGAAACCUAUGGGAUAUUAAUGCCAAUCCUGUGAAUGGGAGCCAUUUCCUUUGUUCUUAAUGCUUUCGUGCUAUAAAUAGAAAAUAAGGUGGGGCUUAUAAAAAUAAGACACAUUGAUAACAAAGAGGCAGCUAGGAUGAAUGACCAGGUGCAGAUUCUUUGGGGAGGGGAAGAGGCAUGGUAACAAAGAACUGAGGCGAAGUGAACAGACUGAUUUUCAAAUUCAAAAGCAGAUCAUCUUCAAAGAAUUGAAAAAGAUAGAUUCUGACAGCCUGUGACUAAAAAUAAUUUGAUUAAGGGUUUACUUCCAUCUGUGUAAAGUCAUUUCUCAGCAUAUUCUAUCACUGUAGAAGGAGGUAAAUCAUGUUUAAUAAAAAGGAAUUAAGCUUAGUUGGAUUCAAGUUGGAAUUCCGGUUCUAAUGCUUAAGGCUAGUAACAUGGUAGGCAGGCAAUUGGCUAUCUCACACUUUCACCGUCUACCUCAGCAAAAUAUGUAGAAAAGUAGUACCUGCCUCAAUUGUUGCUUUCAGGAUAAAUGGGCACGCAUCAGAUAAAGCAGUAAGAUGUCACUAAAAAUGUUAGUUGUUACUGUCAAAAUUAACUUACUGUCAAGAACUUCAUCAUUUGAGGUUGAAAUAAAGUAUAAAAAUUUCUGGC